rnacentral:rRNA from 1 species
AUUGAACGCUGGCGGCAGGCCUAACACAUGCAAGUCGAGCGGAUGAAGGGAGCUUGCUCCUGGAUUCAGCGGCGGACGGGUGAGUAAUGCCUAGGAAUCUGCCUGGUAGUGGGGGAUAACGUCCGGAAACGGGCGCUGAUACCGCAUACGUCCUGAGGGAGAAAGUGGGGGAUCUUCGGACCUCACGCUAUCAGAUGGGCCUAGGUCGGAUUAGCUAGUUGGUGGGGUAAAGGCCUACCAAGGCGACGAUCCGUAACUGGUCUGAGAGGAUGAUCAGUCACACUGGAACUGAGACACGGUCCAGACUCCUACGGGAGGCAGCAGUGGGGAAUAUUGGACAAUGGGCGAAAGCCUGAUCCAGCCAUGCCGCGUGUGUGAAGAAGGUCUUCGGAUUGUAAAGCACUUUAAGUUGGGAGGAAGGGCAGUAAGUUAAUACCUUGCUGUUUUGACGUUACCAACAGAAUAAGCACCGGCUAACUUCGUG